rnacentral:rRNA from 1 species
CGCGUAGGCGGCCUACUAAGUCGGACGUGAAAUCCCUCGGCUCAACCGAGGAACUGCGUCCGAUACUGGCAGGCUGGAAUCCGGGAGAGGGAUGUGGAAUUCCAGGUGUAGCGGUGAAAUGCGUAGAUAUCUGGAGGAACACCGGUGGCGAAGGCGGCAUCCUGGACCGGUAUUGACGCUGAGGCGCGAAAGCUAGGGGAGCAAACG